AUGGGGCUGUUUCUGCGAGUUCUUUUGGUGAUUUUGUGGCUUUCAGUGGACUGGUUGAGCAGCCAAAAAAUGGAACAGAAUCCUCAGUCCUUGAGCAUCCAGGAGAAUGAAAAGGCUAUUCUGACCUGCAGCUAUGCAAAUUAUUCUCCAGUGUUCUUCCAGUGGUACCGACAAGAUCCAGGAAGAGGCCCCAUCUUCUUGCUAUUAAUACGUGAAAACGAGCGAACAAAACUGGUAGGAAGACUGAGGGCCACCUUUGAUACCACCAUCAAACAGAGCUCCUUUUAUAUCACAGCUUCCCAGCCUUCAGACUCAGCCACCUACCUCUGUGCCGCAGGCACACAGCAGGGCCCUACCGCCCACUUCCUGCACCCAAACCCUUCAGGUCGGCAGGGGAGGGCAGUUGGGGGGGACCCUGCUAACCAUCCACAGUCAACAGAGCUGCUGGCUGUGCAGUCCCUCAAAGGCUUACAACAGCUCCUGGAAAAAUAA